ACUUUUCAAUAUUCAUGCGCCCUCCCACAUCAAGCGGCGGUCGGCUUGGUAAACAACAUCGAUCGUGGCAUCUUGGGAGUGUGGGAUAUUCUAAGAUCAUAGAUAAUUUGCCCUCACUAUGGGUUUCAGUCGAUAUUCUACAUAAAUUUGCAUAGAACUGAGUGCACUGUAUCCGUCUAGAACAGUGCUGUAGCUGCUACUGCCACCUUUCGCCAAUUAAGUAAGCUGAGAUUUGUACACUCGCCGUCCGGUGGUUGCUAGGUAGGACACGAAAGUAAACAACAUUCCAAAGAAGAAUUUCAAGACAAGUGUCCAGCUUGGCUUGCAAGAUCGAACAAGAUCAUCAUUUGGUGGCUGAAAAUGAAGAAUUAAGAUAACCAGGGCCCAGACUAACAAGAAUUUCUAUCCGACUUCGUGGAGGAGUCUUCUGACCACGGCAUUCGGCUGUUCUACAUGAAGGUUGAAGAAUCCCGCUGGGUUCAGCCGACAGAGGGCUCUGAUAAAUCGCCGAUAGAUGGCGGCUGCUACGCCAAGAGUCACUACCUUCGUUGAAAUCGUCCUAUCAGCAGCUUCUUAUCCCGGUGUUGGCGCACUCGGGAAAAGUGAGGCUGUGCAAGCUCAGCAUCAUUUGUUCCCUUUUUUUAAAAAGCGCUCUUCGUGUUACGAUUACAGUGACAUGUCAAGUUUACGUGGGUCUCUAGCUCAACUUGAAUCGCGGCCGUAUUGGUGCACAGACGUUCUCUGAAUACGUAUGGUACAUACGUGCUAGAAUCUGAGGCGAGUGUGUUUGGAUGUUCACUAAAAUCGUCAACGGAAUGUGGGAACCAGAAAUAAACAUCGACACGGC